rnacentral:rRNA from 1 species
GACGAACGCUGGCGGCGGGCUUAACACAUGCAAGUCGAACGGAAAGGCCCUGCUUGUGUGGGGUGCUGGAGGGGCGAACGGGGGAGUAACACGUGAGUAACCUGCUCUUGACUUUGGGAGAGCUUCAGGAAACGGGGGCUAAUACAGUAUAGGAGCUGCUGUUGGGGGGUGGGGGGGGGAAAUUUUACGCGGGUGGGGAUGGAUGCGCGGCUGAUGAGUUUGCUGGUUGGGGAGUCGCUGGCCUAGGCUGUGACGGGUAGGCGGCAUGAGAGGGUGACUGGCCACAUUGGGCCUGCGAUACGGACCAGACUCGUACGGGAGGCAGUGGUGGCGAAUCUUGCCCAAUCGGCCCGCGCCUGAUGAGGCAGCCCCGGGUUCGGGAUGCCGGCCUUCGGGUUGUGAAACGCUUUCGCCUGUGACGAAGCGUGAGUGACGGUAAUGGGUAAAGAAGCACCGGCUAACUACGUG